UGUCCUCGUGCAGCCGGCGGACCACGCUUUCCUUGUGUCAGUCGCCGCUACAGAAGUUGGGACAAAGUGUCUGCCGCACCAAGCGUCCUUCGUGUCUGGUUUUUCGCGCAGCUCGCCUUGCAGGCUCCCUCCGGCAAGUUUGAAAAGACUUGACCCUGCUCACGCUGCAGCCGCUGCUACCAAGGUGCAGCAUAGUCAGAUCAUUGGCCUCUGGAAAUCGGUCCUAGGAUUGCCUCCGCAAUCUGGUGCCGGCCAGAUGUUUGGGACUUGGACUCCUAUCAGCCCCAACCAGCAUGCUCAACGAUCAGGAAUGCUAGCAACUGUCGCGAAAUAUUUGGAAGGCACCAGCUUGAGACAAAGGCUACCCUAUAGAGUUCGGAUAAUGCUUAAAGACUGAUAUGACAACACUGAAAGGAUAGACUGAGGACGUUGCUUUCAAUAUUUGAAUGGUCAGAUCAGAACUAUAUUGGAUCACCUAACAUUUCAGCCUGAAAAUGCCAGACUACAUAGACUACUAGACCAAAACUCCAGUGCCUACAGCAGUAAGUGUUUCAAAAGAGGGAAGGGUUAAAAUCUGCCCUUUCUAGAGCAGCUGGAGACCUUGAUAAAGUGUCAAAAGGUAAGAACUCUCAGUUUAAUACAUGAAAUCCUGAAGUUUACAUUGCUAAACUGAAGAACUUUUCACCACUAUUCUGGUGCACUAACUUCCACUAGUGAUUUCCAAUACUCAGUUUGGCAAUUGUGUGCACAUUCUUGCCUUGCCAGUUUUAAUCUGUGUUACCAAUUACACUUCAAUCCCUUAGAAAGCUGAAAUUGACAGAGACUUUGUGCAGGCGAGACUACAACUGACAGCCAGAAGUGCCCAGUAGGGCACCUCCAAGAGAACAUUUGGACACAUUUCUGGGGCUGCUUUUUAAAAAGGUGGAUUGAGUAAACCAUAGAACAGGUCAUAACAAAUGGUUUAUUGCCUCCAAAGAAGCCAUUUUGCAAGUAGUGAUCUAGGUUUGGACAAUGUGGUAGCCCACUGUGGCUAGUUACACAUAACAGGCUGCUGUGUUGUGUAAAUCCAGUCCAUCAUAGGAUAUUAUGAAGUGUGUAAGUCACUUGCUCAUCUAAUUUCCAGUGAAUCCAGGUAAAGUCUGUGAAAAUGCACCAUGAAGACUUCAAGGUGAGUGGUAAGAUAGAAACCUGAUCAUUCCCAAUUUGUGUGCAUAUUUUCCUCAGUCAAGUAAGUUCAUCCCAAAUUUCUUUUACAUUCACUGUGGAAAUAAUGUGACUUCCAUAAAUUAAUCUAUGUUUCAUUUCUAUUCUACCCAUAGCCAAGGUUUUCU